rnacentral:lncRNA from 1 species
CGCCAUCUGAAUCAAUUCUGAACGAACAGUAUCUCUAUCUGGCUUUGUUAUUAUUACAGUGUUAUCUGCACCCAGCCAGUAAGUAGAGAUAUGGAGAGAGGGGACAGCUUUGUCGCGGACCUUUCUUUGGUUUCUUUUAUGAACUCCACUGGUCGUCCAUGGAUUAUAGGGGCUUUCCAUUGUAUAUAAAUAAACUUUCGUAUCCUACUCUGCAAAUCCCAUUUUCCUUAAGCAUAUAGAAACC